rnacentral:pre_miRNA from 1 species
ACCGAGUAACUUGGUUUAGCCUCUCCUAGGCUUUGUCUGUAUGGGAGGACAGAGACAUAGCCUAGAAUAGGUUAGGUCAGGACUCGUUCG